rnacentral:tRNA from 1 species
GGACCAUUAGCUCGAAGGUCGAGCGGCUGGCUCAUAACCGGCUGGCCCAGGUUCGAUUCCUGGAUGGGCCACCA